rnacentral:rRNA from 1 species
AUACGGAGGGGGUUAGCGUUGUUCGGAAUUACUGGGCGUAAAGCGCACGUAGGCGGACUGGAAAGUUGGGGGUGAAAUCCCGGGGCUCAACCCCGGAACUGCCUCCAAAACUUCCAAUCUAGAGAUCGAGAGAGGUGAGUGGAAUUCCAAGUGUAGAGGUGAAAUUCGUAGAUAUUUGGAGGAACACCAGUGGCGAAGGCGGCUCACUGGCUCGAUACUGACGCUGAGGUGCGAAAGCGUGGGGAGCAAACAGAAUUAGAAACCCUAGUAGUCC